CCAGACCUCCUGUGAACACGGGGCUGGAGCCUCAGCCUCAGCCACCUGCCCAGGAAGCCAGCCCUCCCCUCGUCUGCAAUAAACAUCCCGUGAGUCAGACCCACAGGAAGCCGGCUUGCAGUCUGCAUAGGCCGUCUACGAGGAAGCUGCACAGGAACAGCUGUAGCGAUCGGCACUCCUGUCCUACGACCGACAGCUGCCCCACUUUCUGUCCCUGCUUCCAGCUCAGGACCAGCUGAGGACCCCCAAGUGCGCCCUCACCCACCUCAUCAGCGAGACACAAAGCUUCCCCAGCGCGGGCGCCCCGUGUUUUCCUGUCACCCCACAGCAGGCGGCACGGCUCCUGAGACAGUGGGUGCUCAGUGAAUGUGUCUGACCAGAUGGAUGAAGACAGCCUCGGGUUGGUCGCCCAGCUACCCUCCUGGUCAUAAGAAGAAGAUGCAGGAAGUAAGUUUCUCUUUCCUCCGGUCCUAAGUGCUCUCUCAGCUCUUCCCACUUUCUCUUCUGUGCGCACAAAGGGGGCAGCUGUAACAGAACACCAUGGACUGGGUGGUUUAGUUCACAGGAAUUUACAGAUGGCGGUGCCAGUGGGGUUGGUGUUAUUUCUGGCCUGUAAGUACAGCCACGUGUGCCCACAUGACCUCUUCCCAAUCCCGCUGGGGGCCCUGCCCUCAUCUUGCCCUAACUGUCCCCCAAGGCCCCGCCUCUAAAUGCCAUCCCACUGGGGGCUAGGGCUUCAACAUACGAAUUUGGGGGACAAGUACAUUCAGUCGGUCAUAAAAGAUAAAGAUUCUGUUUCCUCAAAUUUUACAGUAUGAUUUGAUACAAUAAUUGGGGUAUCUUCUCUGACAUAAUUAUCCUUUUUUUCUCAUUCUUAUGAAUUAGCAAUUCUUAUAUAUUUAAUUUCUACCUUAGCUUGACGUUGAUACUUAGAAAGAACUAGCUUCUCCUUUUAUAUAUUUACUUUUUUGCUAAAAUAUUUGUAUUUCAAUCAUGCUGGAAGUUACAAAUGCUUUCUAAUGAUCCCCAAAGUCAAACAGUCAAUUGUCUCUUUUUUUUAAAGGCUUUAGGGAUGAGGAAAUAGCUCAUCUGUCUUCAGACGCACAUGAAGGGUCACCCAUCACCUAAUAAUCGCCCCUCCCCCAUGUCACAGCUGUCUUCUGCGCAGGGGAGCUUCCUGCUUUAUUCUCCCUUCACUCUGAGCAGUUACGACCAUAUCUGUUCAGAAGAAACAUAUGUGAAAAAUAUAAAAUACUCAGGCAGAUGAAUGGAGUGUCUCAGUUAAGCUUUUCUUCUGCACAUUCUGCCCUGGACCUUCUGCCUCCCUUAAAUAUUUUUCUUCCCUGAAUUUAUAGCCCCUCAGACUCUGUUUUGUAAUUUCAGGACUGGGUUGGGGACUGGCUCUGCCUCCUUAUCACCGAUGAUCUCGACUUUAACUCUGUGCUUUGAAGUAUUUCCCCAAAGAGCCCCCCCCCCCCCGCCGUGGUUCUUGCCACGGAAGAUGCCGCCUGCCUCGCGGAGCCAGGGUGAUGCUCGGGGUGGGUCAGAGACCCUCGCUGACUGACCCUCUGUGUGCUCUUUCCCUGCCCACAGCCUCCUCUGCGCCCGUGACCUCCUGGCCUGUCUAGUCCCUCCGCUCUGCGGCCUGCGGGGUCCCCUCCCUGGGCUCCUCUCAGGAGCCCGACGUGGUGGUCAGCGGGCAGAACCGGGGCCCGUUUUCAACACCUUUCAUGUACUCCUCCCGGCAAACCCUGAGGCAUAAACAACCUCACUCUAUAAGAGGAAGCAAACCCAGGGAGGUUACGGAGACGCCUGGGGCCUCAUAAUAGCUAACUGUGGCCCAGCGGGGCCUGAACCCUGGGCUGUGUCCUUCUGCUGUGUCCCAGGCAGAUGGGAAGACAUGGCACCUAGAGUCAUAUUUAUUUACUGUAAACCUGCCCGAGAGUAAAUGCAAGAGCACCGGAGAGGAAGUAGCUUCGGGCCUUGGGCAGACAGAUGCCACGGUUGCAUUUUGCAUGGAGUCUGCAUGGGUUUUAUGGUUAGUUUGCUCCGUUAGUCUGCUGGUUGCACAGACAGGCCCGGCAUCUUCUGGGCGGGGACGCAUUCCUGUCUGGUUGGGCUUUGGAACCUGAAUCAUGAGGAAAUGGAGCCUGGCUUCUGAGAAAGAUAAACACUGUCAGAAAUCCCCAGGGGCCCGAACCCACUGCAUCCCCUUCAGCACUGAUCUCACAUGAUCUUGGCCAGAGACACAGCCUGAGGGUCCUCUCCUGUGACACAAGGAGGGGGGCCCUGCUGAGGACGAAGGAAGUCUGCAGUUUCCAAAUACGGCAUUCAAAGCCCCCGAAUUGAGAAAAACUCCAACAGACGCAAGAGAUAAUGUCAAACAGAGCAGGACACACUCUGUAAAGGGAGCUUCAAGGCCAUUUCUCCGGGGUGGCCGGCAAGGGACACAGACUGUGGACACUGCUGGGACCGAGGCGGGGCCGGAACCCUGGCUCUGGAUCCUCUCCCAGGACCCUCACCUGCUCAGCGGCCCUGGCAAAUACUGGGUUCCCAUCGCCUCUUGUGCCACACGGUUGAGAUUUGGACCAUUAAAGAAAAUACCCUGUGUACUAUCUUUUAUCAAAAACCUCCACCAUGGGUGGGUUUGACGUUUUCCUCCAAAUAUCUGGGCAGUUUUAUAGAAAGCUCAGGAAGGCCCUUUCACCUCUGUUAGUAAGCGGAUUCUGUGAAGCCCACGUGGGAAUUCUAUCCAGAUAGACUCAAAAGUCUGCUCUGGGCCCUUUGAAAUGGUUGCACUUUUGAGACAGAAAGAAAGAGAGUGACAGAAAGCAGCCACUCUCCUUCACUUUUGGAAACCUCUGCCCAGGUCAAACAGGUGGACUUCUUUGUUCUAAAAUGUUAAUCUUUUUAAAAUGUGAGUCUCUGAAGUGCGUCCUGAAACUAGCUGUUCGUUACAUGAAUAUCUAAUGUCUACUACAAGAUCUACUACCAUUUUAGCUUGUUUUCUUACCAUUUUCCUUCAAAAGUUCCUACCAACUGUGCAUUUAGCCCCAGGACGGGGCUGUGGUGGUCACUGGGGAAGACGUUCCCCCCCCCCCCCCCCAUGCCUUCUUUCUACCUCGAGGCCCUCAGAACCAGCUUUGAAUAAUUCAGGAUAAAACUUCAUGAACUGAACAUGCUGCUCUCCGCAGGCAGCUUCCCUGAAAAUCCUACCUUCCUGAAAAGUUGAGGGAAAUUCCCUUUGAAAAAUAAACACCAUAAAAGGGUUUCUUUUCCACA